UACAGAGGUGGCAAGCGUUGUUCGGAAUUACCGGGCGUAAAGGGCGCGUAGGCGGUCUUGUAAGUCCUGUGUGAAAUCCCUCGGCUCAACUGAGGAACUGCACGGGAUACUGCGAGACUUGAGUUCGGGAGAGGGAAGCGGAAUUCCGGGUGUAGCGGUGAAAUGCGUAGAUAUCCGGAGGAACACCGGUGGCGAAGGCGGCUUCCUGGACCGAUUACUGACGCUGAGGCGCGAAAGCUAGGGGAGCAAACGGG
rnacentral:rRNA from 1 species